GCUUUGGGACUGCAUCCUUUGUUAGAACUUUUAUUUUGAAAAAAAUAAAAAGAUCGUCUCAGUUUCCUUUAAAGUUCAAGCAAUCACUCAAACAUACAAUUUUUGUUGAUUUUGUAGAAGCUCCAUCACAACUGAAUCUGUUUUUUUGCAUCACGUCACAAAAAAACAACCUCUUUGAUUAUUCAGGGAUAGAAUUGGAGAAACGGUUGGAGGUUUUUCUGACCUGGUAAAUCACUCCUCUGUGUCCGGCUGGAGCUGGAGUGUGAAGCUUCAUAACAAAUCUGAAGCUGCUUUCUCUUUCCAUCUCCUCCCUUAGAUAGAACUCACAAAGUGAUUUUCGCCUCUAAAUCUCGUGAUCGCUUUAAUUUUUUGCUAGGCUGCCUCACCGGCGUCCUGGGAAAGGGCAAAGAGGAGGAAAGGAGCGGGAAGGCGGCGAAAGCCGAGGGGAUGAGGGGUCCGCAAACAUGGCUGGGAGAGAAAGAGGAGAUGGUGGAAGAGUGGAGAACAGUAUGGAGUUAAAGCUUUAUCAAUGCUUUCAACAGACAAGGAGGCCGGCCUGCGCACUUCCAAGUCUCUUACCUGUCGUACAGUAAGCUCAGGCGUCCUCUUUGCCUCCACAUCCCUCCCACGUCACCUCGCCGAGACCCAUCUGUGUCUAGAAGAAAGUAUGAUGAAACCACCAAACAAUGAGCGAACGUAAAGAACACAAAUGUGGCGACGCGUUUCUUGAAGGGCGGGCAUUUUGGAAGGAGCGAAUGGGAGACGGGAAGAGCGGAGGGAGGCGUGUGUUCAAAAAUUCACAAAGGUUUUGUAAUAAAUGCGUCCAUGACAAUAAAAACAAAAACAUUAAAGGGAGAAAAGACAUGUUUCUGUGUUAAACAAUUAGUGCUGCAGCAUUAGAGGCGAUCAGGAGGAGACAAAAGCGCUGCAGCGGCAGGGGGUUUACCCCAGACACAAAGACACAAAGACAGAUGCUCUGCAGCCCAGCCAAGCUGCAGCACCACUCCGGUUCGGCGGUUUGGAAGCUCGGAGGGAUCUUUGGGUUCGUUCUGGGGAGACUGUGAGCUGCAGUUUGUCUACGUCAUCGGCUCGUCUGGAUAAUUAAAUUCAUUUGUGACCACGAGCUACCAGACAUCCACGACAACAACGCAGCAUUUAAAACUUCCGCAAAAGUUACCGCCCCCUCCUAUUUGGUGACGAGAAAAGGUGCUUUUGCCUGCGUAAAUAUUUAGGACUUUCCAAACCUGCGUGGCCUCCUUUGGUAAAGCAGCUGCAUUUUUUAGCCAGAAUUAUCGAAACGAUCUUUUUCUGAAACCAGCAGUCAGAUUCAAGUCUGUCUUCUGCUAGAAGGACCUUGAACCGAUUUUUCCUGUGUUUGUGUCUUCUUCAGCAUUUGCUGGUAAUUAAUGUUCAUAAUUAACGGCAACAGGCAAGCAGCCCCACACCAUCACACUACCACCACCAUGUUUGAGUGUUAAUUCAAUAAAGUUCAUUGUGACUACAAAGUUAACUAAGUUCUUAAGUUAUUUUUUCUCAGACACGGUUUGUGUUUGUCAACAUACCUUACACGUUUCGGUGGAAUCACUUCCACCUUCGUCAGAGUCGUCAUCAGGUGGUGGUGAUGUGACGUCUUUAAAAACAGAUGAUUCUGACGGGGCGGAGUCACCUGUCAGACUUUGACAAGUGACUCCGCCCCUUGAUGUCAGUUUUAUUGCUGGAGGAUGUUGCUCCAGGUGUGGGAGAGAAGUAAGGCCACCUCAUCCCGGUUCA
ensembl:lncRNA